AAGAUGGCGACCGGCGCACGGGUGAGUAACACGUAUCCAACCUGCCGAUAACUCCGGAAUAGCCUUUCGAAAGUAAAGAUUAAUACCGGAUAGCAUACGAAUAUCGCAUGAUAUUUUUAUUAAAGAAUUUCGGUUAUCGAUGGGGAUGCGUUCCAUUAGUUUGUUGGCGGGGUAACGGCCCACCAAGACUACGAUGGAUAGGGGUUCUGAGAGGAAGGUCCCCCACAUUGGAACUGAGACACGGUCCAA
rnacentral:rRNA from 1 species